rnacentral:rRNA from 1 species
AGCGAACGCUGGCGGCAGGCUUAACACAUGCAAGUCGAACGCCCCGCAAGGGGAGUGGCAGACGGGUGAGUAACACGUGGGAACGUACCCUUUGGUUCGGAAUAACUUGGGGAAACUCAAGCUAAUACCGGAUAAGCCCUUAUGGGGAAAGGUUUACUGCCGAAGGAUCGGCCCGCGUCUGAUUAGCUAGUUGGUGAGGUAAUGGCUCACCAAGGCGACGAUCAGUAGCUGGUCGUAGAGGAUGAUCAGCCACACUGGGACUGAGACACGGCCGAGACUCCUACGGGGGGCAGCAGGGGGUAAUAUUGGACAAGGGGGGCAACCCUGACCCCGCCAUGCCGCGUGAGUGAUGAAGGCCUUAGGUUUGAAAAGCUCUUUUACCCGGGACGAUAAUGACUGUACCGGGAGAAUAAGCCCCGGCUAACUUCGUGCCAGCCGCCGCGGUAA